CACCAGACUCCUACGGGAGGCAGCAGUGGGGAAUAUUGCACAAUGGGGGAAACCCUGAUGCAGCGACGCCGCGUGAGUGAAGAAGUAUUUCGGUAUGUAAAGCUCUAUCAGCAGGGAAGAAAAUGACGGUACCUGACUAAGAAGCCCCGGCUAACUACGUGCCAGCAGCCGCGGUAAUACGUAGGGGGCAAGCGUUAUCCGGAUUUACUGGGUGUAAAGGGAGCGUAGACGGCAUGGCAAGUCAGAUGUGAAGGCCCGGGGCUCAACCCCGGGACUGCAUUUGAAACUGUCAGGCUGGAGUGCAGGAGAGGUAAGUGGAAUUCCUAGUGUAGCGGUGAAAUGCGUAGAUAUCAGGAGGAACACCGGUGGCGAAGGCGGCCUGCUGGACUGCAACUGACGUUGAGGCCCGAAAGCGUGGGGAGCAAACAGGAUUAGAUACCCUCGUACG
rnacentral:rRNA from 1 species